ACAAGUGCUGAAGUUGACAAGUGACAACUGACAUAUAUAGAUAAACAAACAAAAUGACAGCUUUCUAAGAGUAAAUAAAAUAAUUUAUGCAAAGAAUUUCUGUUGUUAUAUGUAAAUUCGUUCGGGAAUAAAUGAGUUUUCUAAAUCAUUAGUAUGGACUCCACCCGUAAUAGUCAUAUUAAAGAGGCCCAAGCUACUUUGGCUUCUAUUCAAGAAAUAUCUCGGCUUUUAAAUACAGAACUUAGUCCCGAAGCUUUAACAAUAUGCGUGAGACUUUGUGAAGCUGGUAUUAGUCCAGAAGUAUUAGCUGCUUUGGUUAGAGAUCUUUUAAAGGAGGUUCGUGAAUCACAAUUAAAUCAUAAUCAAGCCAGUUCAUCAAGGGAGUUCCAAGCUAGUAAUUAAAUUUUUAUCUAUUCGGCUUUCUGGACAGUUUAAAUACUGAGAUGGGAAUAUAGAUCAUGCAAGAGUACAAAGCUGAUGUUUACAUUUUAUAAUAAAUAAAAGUACUAUCAAAUUUGUAAGAGUUUGAUAAAACUCCUGAUAUUCUACCAGAAUUUUUUAUGCACUGCCAGUAGCGUGUCAGUUUUGUAAACAUGUAUUUUAAGUAAAGUGACUGUUCAGGUGUAGUUUAAUGCCGAUUCAGUUCUAGUGUGAUUUUGUCAGUUCAUUAUAAUUAAAAAAGAUGUAAUAUAAAUAUCAUGGUAACAUUUGGA